rnacentral:misc_RNA from 1 species
UCUAUUGGUGAUGUGUAUUUGAAAAAGGCUGAGUUCAACAGGCAGCCUUUAUAUGCCAAGUUCAGACUUCGUGAACCUUUCAAAAAGCCGAUUUUAAGUUCAGAACCAUCAAUCUCGGUGCACCAACUGCAGCCACACGAUCAGUUUAUUAUAUUUGCAUCUGAUGGCCUUUGGGAGCAUCUUAGCAAUCAAGAAGCAGUUGAUAUAGUACAAAAUCAUCCACGCAGUGGAAGUGCUAGGAGACUGGUGAAAGCUGCUCUGCAAGAAGCAGCAAAGAAGAGAGAAAUGAGGUAUUCAGACUUGAAGAAGAUUGAUCGUGGUGUUAGAAGGCAUUUCCAUGAUGAUAUUACCGUGAUUGUUGUGUUUCUUGAUUCGAAUCUCGUAAGCAGGGCUAGUUCAGUCAAGGACUCAAAUAUAUCCGUGAGAGGGGGUGGAAUCAGUCUGCCCCCAAACACACUGGCACCUUGUACUACGCCAACUGAAGCUGGCAGUACCUGAUGAAGCUGUAUCUCCUAUUUUUAUCUCCUGUAUUAUUCUCAUGUGAAUACCAGGUAGCUUCCAGAAGUGAGAGAGGAGCCACCCUACAAUUCUUUAAUGUACACUGUAACUUUUAACUGGAAACUGAUACUUGCAUUUAGCUUCUGUGCCAAAAAACUAGAACCAGAGAAGUACAAGGUGACAAUUAUUAAAGUUAUUUCUAGAGAAGUUUUCUACCCC